rnacentral:rRNA from 1 species
UACGGAGGGUCAAGCGUUAUCCGGAUUCACUGGGUUUAAAGGGUGCGUAGGCGGACAGGUAAGUCAGUGGUGAAAUCUCUGGGCUUAACUCAGAAACUGCCGUUGAUACUAUUUGUCUUGAAUGUCAUGGAGGUAAGCGGAAUAUGUCAUGUAGCGGUGAAAUGCUUAGAUAUGACAUAGAACACCGAUAGCGAAGGCAGCUUACUACAUGAAGAUUGACGCUGAGGCACGAAAGCGUGGGGAGCGAACAGG